GUGUGUGUGUGUGUGUGUGUGUGUGUGUGUGAGUUUGUAAAACCUACCAACCGGGGAAAAUCGUAUGAAUACACACCAACAAACCGGGGAACACCUACCAACCGGGGAAUUCCCCGGUUGGUUAUAGGCGAAAAUCUCUAAUCUACGUGUAUGGAAUACCAAACUGUCAAUUUAAAUUAGAAAUCCAACGCCUUCCCCGAUUAGCGGGUUUGUGGCAUGCACGAAAUAUACACAAAUGUUGACUAAAUUACAAUCGAGUGUGUAUCCAGGCUUAUAACAGUUCCCCGGUUGCGCUGUUUAAAAAUCAUACACUCGGUAUUUAUAUCAUUUAGUGAAAGUAAGUUGGAAAAAUGGAGUUUCGAGCGAACAAACGCAUUAAACUAAGUAGCCAAAAGGGUCCAAGUCCCCUUGAUCUCGCAAGAACGUACUGCCAGAAUUACGUUGAUCCACCAGGUUUUGAAGUAAAAACCGUCAAUGAUGUCAUAGGCGAAGGAGUCUUCGCCACUAAGCCUUUUAAAAACGGAGACUUUCUUCUCGAAUACAAAGGGGAUCUGAUAACACGAGUAAAACAUGCACGGCAAUUAGAAAAGGAGUAUGAAAAGGAGGGUCAAGGCAGCUUUAUUUACUUUUUUAAAUACAGAGACAAAUCUUGCUGGGUCGAAUGAUAAAUGAUGCCGAAAAUGGAGACGCAAAACAAAUUUGUGUAAUGAAAAUAGUUGAAGUCAACCAAACUCCCCAUCUAUGCACUUUCGCCGACGGAGACAUUGCAAUUGGCGAGGAACUCCGAUAUGAUUAUGGAGUACCAACACUUCCAUGGAGAAAGGCAACACAAUGACUACUAGAUCUACGGACAGCCAGGAACCAGGACAAACAACAUCCGUACACACGAAAGAAGUCGAUGAGACGAAAAGGGUACUUCAAAUACCAGGAGAACAACACAAGAAGCCAAAAAGCAAUGGAGUGAAAACGAAAAAGGAGCUGUUCACAGACACUUUGAUCGUUUUUUGAUUAUGGGUAAAUUACCAGGGAAAAAAGACAUACUUGCAUGUAUAGACCGUUCCAUAAUUUAGUCAUUACAUAAUUAUCUCCCCUGAAUUCUCUCCGCGUCCGCCAUUACACUGCUGCUUUACAAUCGGUAACAUAUAUAAGAGAGCACCGAUUAUUCAACGGAUGAAUUUCUUUCUAAAUUCUAAGGCCGUCAUUACAUGGUCUUGGUUGUCUUGGAAAACUAACACAUUGACACAUUAAAAAAAGCAUUUAGUUAAAUUAAAUGCAAUAUUUUUCAUUUGAUUAUUUGCAUCAAUCUUUAAAUCGUGUAUGCCUUUGCAUUCCAGUGUUUAAUUGCCCCUUUGUUCUGCAUAAUCCGAUUAUCUCGUUUUGAUCUGAUAUUGUCCAGACUUAACUAACCACAUGGUGUCAUAAACCACACUGGGUGGCAGAUUACAAUCUGGUCAUUAAACACAAUUGAAGAUGCCACCAUGUCUCAUCUUCCUGGUAGUAUUAAGCAGUCAUUUGGUAAGAUAAUUUACCUCCGACAUACUUAACAGUUGCGUAAAUAAGAUAUGUUACAUAAUUUACAAAUUAAAAGUUAUGUCCAAUAUAGAAUAUCAGAAAGUGUACACCGUAAAGAUACUAGCCCGUUUAAUUUAUGAAAAAAUAAAGUAUUUAAAAAAAUAUAAAAAUAAAACAUUUAACGUAUUUAGCGGGUAUCGGUUAAUUAAAACUACGUCAUUCCGUAUGAAGAUUUGAUGUUACGGCAAUGCACGAACGAUAUCAUAAAACAAUAAAUUACAGUUGACACCAAACAGAGGUAAAAAAUAUUUUAAAAAAUAUAUAUGUAUAUAAAUAUAUGUGUGUUAAAAUAUUAGAUAUGUGUCACUCAUACUCACUAGUAACGAGUUUUCAAUAUACACAGUUCAAUUUGCAUCAUAUGAAGUUGUGUUUUUUCAGUUGUAUGUUAAUAUUCCUCAAUAGCGUCAUUCUUUGUACAAAACCCGUCAAAUUAAAAUUACAUGUAAAUACUGUCAUGUCCUUUGCUUUUAAUAUGGCUUUGUAGUAUGUUUAUUUUCAAAGCACUCCUUACACUUUCUAACACUCAUUUAUUUAUCACACUAGCGUCCUCAUGCCAUUGAUAAUUAUAUUUUUAUAAUUAGAUGUAUUACUAUUGUAAUUUAUUGAAGCUUUUCUGCCAAAAAAAUAUUACGGCUUAUGCAUAGAGCUCUUUAUUGUGUCAAAUUGUCGGCCUUUCAGUCUUCAGAUAAUCUUUAAUUUGAUGCUUAUGCCGCGUUUUUAAAGUUGCAAAUAAAUGUAUUAAUAAAUUCGUUUGGCGCUUAAUAAUAUAUUUUUGAAAUAUAUUAUUUAGGUGUUUUUUUAUCGGAGUUUUUGUGUGUGGAUUAAUUGACUAAAUAUUACGUGUCGUUAUCCAUAUGUUUUGCGUUACUUCAAAGACCUAUAAAAUACAAUUUUUAGUAUUUUUAGCUUUAUAGCUGUUAAAUGAUUCAAAGAUGAAAACAUAGAUAUAUCACAUAGAUCGCAUUCUCUUCAUAAUCCGUAUAAUCACAUAAAAGGUCGUUAAGAUCAAUAUCACUCUCUCAUGAUAAAAAGCUCGUUUUUUAACGUGACAAAAUUCCAUCUAAAAAAAUAAAUAUAAUUUCAAACCACAAUUUUUUAUCUCUGAUAUCAGUUAGAACACGAAAAAUAAUGGAAGGCGUAUCAAUAAUAUCAUACUUAAUAUAAUAUGUAAUGAUUUUGGAAUGUAGAUUUUUACCAAAUGAGAUCAAUUACAAACAAUUAGCGGUAAUUAAUUGCGCGAGAAUCUUUUAUAAGUAUUAAUUUAAAUAAAAUCUGCUUGAUGUUGCGGCUAUUAAAAUCAACACAACAAUACAUGCGUGAAUUGUUUGUGAAACGUUAAAAGUAACAAGUCUAAUCAAAGACAUAGUAUGAGCGACUGAACCAGCAAAUUUUCGCCGAUGAUUACCACUUGAUUACAGAUAAACAAAAACAAAUACACGAAAGCAUUUUAAACAUUUUAUUUGUAACAAUCAAUCUCAACUUCAAACAAUCAUUUAAACAACAAAAAUGUGACAAUCGCCUCACAUUAAUUCAUUAAGUAAUUUAUUUAUCCGACAACGGUGAAGCGGGUUUUCUCUACGUCUUUGGCUUUUGGAAUCGCAGACUCGCACAAGUUAGCAGCAGUGUAAUGGCGGACAGUCACGUGACUGACAAUAUGGCGGCGGUCAAUUUAUCGAUUAUGGAACGGUCUAUUGAAAGUGAGAAUAACCUUCACAACAGAAGUUGGAAAAAUGUCAAAGACUUUUGCAGAAAUUUAAACAAAAAAGCGACGGGGACUUUUAACUUAAAAAAAUAUUACACAUAUAAUGCACGUUUAGGAGAAUACGUUAAAGGAUGAAGAUGCCACAUGUGUUUUGUGUGUUUUCUUGUUCUAUAUACUCUUUUCGAAAACGAUAUAUGUGUGCUUAUUGUAUUUGAAUGUUUUUUAAUACGGUUCAGUCAAAAACGAUAUUUGUUCAUAAUCAUAUCGCCGAACAAAUUAGGAUUGGUAUAUAGUUCGGCCAAAGAGUGUUUCUUAAUACUUUCUAUUACGAGUUUCAACGAGUUACUCACUAUACAAGUUAUUUUUUACCCUAAACUUGGUGAAUAUGAAUGAAUUUAGCAAACAUGAUAACAAAUCAAUCUAGAAGCCAAAACGUUCAGAGAAGGCACAAACACUUUUAGAUGUAAUAAGAUAAAUGUAAAUAACAUUAAAAGAAACUACUCCUAAACUACUGCUACAAUAUGAAGAAUACAAAUAAUUAUUUUGUCAAUUUUACCAAAUUUGUUUUGAAUGACAGGUGUCUGACUUGCAGUUGAGUACUUAAUAGUUAUUUUAAAGUAAACAUUUACCAAAAUGUAAAUUAUUGCGUAAAUAUCGCACUAGAAUUGAUUAAAUAGUUGUUAAAUAUUACAAUAAUUUCCUACACAGAUUUUUGUGCAUUUGUUUUGCGUGUAGAUAUUCACAUUAGCUAUCAAUUCACAUAUUUGCUUUGUGUAUAUAAUUGGUAUGUUUAUAUGUUUUUCAUAUCAAAAUUGCUUGAUCUACAAAAAUUCGCGAGGGGUUAUGCAUUUUUUCCCAUGUUUUUAAUUGAAGUUUAUAAUUAAACGACGAUGAAAAUUACUAAGAUGCCAGAUUUAGUUAUGUUUUUGUCUCAUUUAUGGUUAAAAAUCAAUUAACAUACCCAUUUCCCAGACUAAGAUAUUGUUAAAACAAUUUAUCGUGUUUGCGACUGACCUCUUUUAUGCAUUAUAACACAAGCUAUUUACUUGUUUUUUCGAAUACUCUUCAUAUACACACACUUGAACAAGCUGUAGAUUACCUAGAACAAAACAUAUUUGAAACAUAUAUGUAUAUGUGAUAUGUAAAUGCAUGCACAAAGCUAAUAAUUAAUCAUGUUUAUACACUUUGCGAUAUGAUGCUAUAAUGUCGGUUGUUUUAAGUGAUUAAUCAUUGUGUUAACCUUGUUAUCUGCCAUCUGGAAUGUAAUUAAGUGUUUUGACAUGUAUGCGAAAUUGAUCUUGUUCGAUUUGGUGCUGUAUAUUCAGAAGUGAGUCACACUGUUAUAAUUUUCCUGUUGGUACAUAUUAUUUUCAAGUUGGCACCAACAAGGGUCUAACAAUUGAUCCACAUGUGCACUCCCAGUAAGUAUAUAUACUAUAAUGUAAGUGAUUAAAAAUAAUAUUAAACUACGUGUUUGAUAAGGGUUUGCUUUGGUUCAUAUUUAAUUAUUAGUGUUUUUAUAUAAUGAUAAUGCUGUCAAAGUCAGCGGUGAUUAUACGUGUAUAACAACAUUAAUUAUAACUUUUAUAUUGUUUUCAACAAAUAAUAUAUGGAUGACGCAUCGGCAUAACUUUUCAGUGCUUAAAAUACACUCUUUCUAUUAUAUUUUAUGCAAAAAUUAGGUACAUAAGUUUGUUUACAUAAAGGAAGUUUCAACAAAAUACGUGAAUUCAAAUCUUAAAAAAGGUGUUUGGUUUGCAAGGGAAAACAAAGCGAUUGCCAGUGACUAUUUUCCUUAAAAUAUAAUCUGUUAUUUCGACAGGUAGAAUUAAAUGUAAGUUCAUUAUUAACGUUAACCCGUUUUUGGCAUUCUCUACUCAAACAAGUGCAUACAUACUGUAUUUUUUAAUACAGCAUAUGUGUAAUGGUAUCACAGUUGUAGAAUUGGAAUACAUAUAUUAUAACAAUUAAUACUGAUCAUUAUUCAGAUUGACCUACCGCCGUUGACUAAGUCACUGGCGCAUCAAAAUGCAUUGUUAUCAAGUCGUUUUGCUAGUUUACUAAACUAUUUAGUUUCUCAGGCCUCGCCACAUUCGUUGUGAAACGUUCAUGAUUGUUUAAAGUUACAGAUUUUAUUAUUUUUGAAAAUGCAAUAAAUGUAUUUAAGACAAUUUAAGUGAAGUGGAAGUUGCCAUGCGUGUGAAUGAAUUUUCUGAUGUUUACCUGUUUCAGGGGAUUAAAUGCAUGAGUUAUUUUAUAAUGUCAGAGUAAGGACAAAGUAAAUUUACACUACUCAAUCUACAUGCAUAUGGGCAGUUCUACUUUAAGGAUAAAAAACUUCAUAGUACGUGAAAAUCGUGAAUGCUUUUUUCUGAUGGAAAAAAGGAAUUAAACAAAUAAGCCGCCUCCCCCCCUCUCCUUCAUUCGGUUUGACAAAUAGCGUUGCCUGAAAAAAAUAACAUUAUUUUUUAGUUUUAGGAACGAAUUGUAUUCAUUUGUUGAUUAAUUGCACCAUGAUUGUUAUGGUAUAAUGCAGCACUUGCAUGCUUGUA